UGCGUUUUUAGCUCAGCAGGACAGAGCAAUUGCCUUCUAAGCAAUCGGUCACUGGGUUCGACUCCAGUACAACGCGCCAC
rnacentral:tRNA from 1 species